GCCUGGAUAGCCCAGUGGGUUAGAGUGUUGCUCUGAUAACACCAAGGUUGCAGGUUUGAUCCCUGUAUGUUCCAGCUCUACA